rnacentral:rRNA from 1 species
UUUUGGUGAGGUGCCUUCCGAGUUCCCUGGAACGGGACGCCAUAGAGGGUGAGAGCCCCGUCUGGUUGGACACCGAUCCUCUGUAAAGCUCCUUCGACGAGUCGAGUAGUUUGGGAAUGCUGCUCUAAAUGGGAGGUAUAUGUCUUCUAAAGCUAAAUACCGGCCAGAGACCGAUAGCGCACAAGUAGAGUGAUCGAAAGAUGAAAAGAACUUUGAAAAGAGAGUUAAAAAGUACGUGAAAUUGUUGAAAGGGAAGCGCUUGUGACCAGACUUGGGCUUGGUUGAUCAUCCGGGGUUCUCCCCGGUGCACUCUUCCGGCUCAGGCCAGCAUCAGUUCGCCCUGGGGGAUAAAGGCUUCGGGAAUGUGGCUCUCUCCGGGGAGUGUUAUAGCCCGCUGCGUAAUACCCUGUGGCGG